rnacentral:rRNA from 1 species
AAUAGUGGCGAAAGGGUGAGUAAUGCAAGGGUAACAUGCCCUUAAGCUGGGGAUAACUCCGAGAAAUCGGAGCUAAUACCGAAUGUGGUCCUUUGAUGGGAUCAUUAGAGGACUAAAGAUGGGGACCCUUCGGGGCCUUCCGCUUAAGGAGUGGCUCUUGUCCUAUUAGCCUGUUGGUGGGGUAACGGCUCACCAAAGCAAUAAUGGGUAGCUGGUCUGAGAGGAUGAUCAGCCACACUGGGACUGAGACACUGCCCAGACUCCUACGGGAGGCUGCAGUCGAGAAUCUUUCGCAAUGGGGGAAACCCUGACGAAGCGACGCCGCGUGGAGGAUGAAGGCCCUCGGGUUGUAAACUCCUGUCACUUGGGAUGAAAAGUGGGGCCAUUAAUACCGGUUCUGCCUGACAGUACCUUGAAAGGAAGCUCCGGCUAACUACGUGCCAGCAGCCGCGGUAAUACGUAGGGAGCAAGCGUUGUUCGGAUUUACUGGGCGUAAAGGGUGUGUAGGUUGCUUGGUAAGUCAGUUGUGAAAUCCUUACUGCUCGACAGAAGAAUUGCAAUUGAUACUACCAGGCUAGAGUUCGGUAGAGGAGAGCGGAAUUCUCGGUGUAGCGGUGAAAUGCGUAGAUAUCGAGAGGAACACCAGUGGCGUAGGCGGCUCUCUAGCCCGAUACUGACACUGAAACACGAAAGCGUGGGUAGCGAACGGGAUUAGAUACCCCGGUAGUCCACGCCGUAAACGAUGGGUACUAGGUGCAGGUGGUAUCGAUCCCUUCUGUGCCGAAGCAAACGCGUUAAGUACCCCGCCUGGGGAGUACGGCCGCAAGGCUAAAACUCAAAGGAAUAGACGGGGGCCCGCACAAGCGGUGGAGCAUGUGGUUUAAUACGACGCAACGCGUAGAACCUUACCAGGGCUUGACAUGCUGGUGGUACUGGCUCCGAAAGGAGACAGGACCCUUCGGGGAGCCAACACAGAUGUUGCACGGCUGUCGUCAGCUCGUGUCGUGAGAUGUUGGGUUAAGUCCCGCAACGAGCGCAACCCUUGUCAUUAGUUGCCAUCAGGUAAUGCUGGGGACUCUAAGGAGACUGCCUGUGAUAAGCAGGAGGAAGGUGAGGAUGACGUCAAGUCAUUGUGGUUCUUACGCCCUGGGGUACACAUGCGCUUCAAUGGUGGAUACAAUGGGUAGCAAUGCCUCGAGGUGGAGCCAAUCCCCAAAAG